UUCUUCCUUCUAUAAUAUGUAACAUAGUGUCGGCCUAUCAAUUUGUUGCCUUGCCUUAGUAGUUGACCAAACACGUGUUCUCCAAAUAUGUGGAAUCUUCUGGUGUCUUCUAAUUCAAUUUGAUCUUUAAACCACCUGAACACAGAACCUAUCAUUGUUUGGUUAUCCAAACACUUCAAUACAAUCUGGAAUAUUUAUUGCUCAUUAAAAGAUAUCUAUUACUCUGCUAUAGUCACUUUGUGCAGAUUAUAUCAAUGCUUCAAAAAUAGAGGCUAAUCUUGCUUGAAGUUCUCCUUUGGCUGCUAUCAGUGUGACAGUGCCUAGCAACACCAAGUUGGAAAUGGUCCAUUUUUUACUUAAGGGCAUGGCAUCUACAUCUUUUGUAAUGAUUUUUUAAAUGAGAAAUGCCUUGGUUAUUUUUUUUCGGAAAUCUAGAAUUCUAGGUAGAAAUGUUUUAUCCUUUGUUUGAUAAUAUUCAUUUAAAAAAAAAAGAAAUCCUCAUCUCUAUAACUUGGAGCCUCAAUAUUUGGAUGAUGGUUUCCUUCUCUCAAUAUAUGUGUUAGAAGAUAACUUUUUCUUUCCAUAGAAGUAAAUAACUGUCAACAAAUGUUCAUUUUAAAUUUUGUAGUAGCAUACUGGAUGUCUGUUUUCUCAAGAUUAUUCUGCUUAAUGAUGCACUAGAAACAGCAUCUUGUUACCUUAGAAGUUUGGUCUGAUUAAUUACAUGAGUCGUUUUUCCUUUUUUUUUCAUUCUGUAGUAUUAUGGAAUAUAUACAAGUAUAAUAUUUUACUUUCUUUCUGGAACUUUUAACUCCUCAGGCUAGGUUAAGGGGCUCACCUUGUCUGUUCUAUUUUUGUUAUUUCGUCUU
rnacentral:misc_RNA from 1 species